GAAGACACACGAUUCUCUCUCUCUCAAUUUCUCUCAGUCGAUAUCUCUCUCAAUCGAGAAUCAAUUGAAGCGUUCGCUGAGUCUUCUCGCUUGCCGUUGACGCCGAUUCACAGCCGCAUCGCAACGACCGGAUCCAUACUUUGAAAUCCAAUCGAGCUAUAAGAUGGAUGGGGUCAAGGGUUUGAUGCAAUUUGUUUUGGUUAAGAGGAAGCGAGAAAUUCACUUUUCAUGGUUUGUAUGUUGCUUACUUAUCUGGUAGACAAUCAUCUGAUAGUGGAUUUGGGAAAUACAGUGAAGAUGAUUUCCAUUCUCUUAGUGCACUUGCUGAAGAAUUGGGAGUCGUUGAUUUGUUCUUACCAUAUCCUUUUACUUAUUACUUGAUGAAUUUGGAACCGUGGAUAGAUUCUAUACUCUCUAUUGUUCAAGUUAUUUAUUACAACUUAUGUUCCUUAACUGUUGUAUACUAAUGAAUGGCCAAGGCCUGUGAAUUUAUUCUUCUUUUAUUGUUGAUGAUUUAUGCUUCUUUUAUUGCAGAGAUUUAAAUGUGAAGGCCAAGGCAUGUAAAUAAAUCUUUACAUAACGGUUUGGCAAU